rnacentral:lncRNA from 1 species
UUGGAACCCCGUCUCCUGUCGCUGGCCUGUGAUUUGGCUGUGCAGCCAGGAUGGCAGAACAAAGGAUUUCAGCUCCUCCAACUUCAGGUCCAAGCAUCCUCUGAAGGAGACAUGGGAUGGACAUUAAGGGGAGGGUGACAGUCUUGUCCGUGUGCCUAGUGAGGCAGAAGCAGGAUGGGGAAAGGGGCCUUCGUUGUACCUGUAGUCAUCGCUGGCAGCCAAGUCCCGGAUGUCUUCUUCAAUGAGAAGGAAUGACAUGAGUGCGAGGCAGCUGAGAAAGCACAGACAACUAGAGCUCCUAGCCACACUGACAGGGGCCCAGAGUCUCGGCCACUGUCAAUGUUCACGCAAGCAUACCUUGGGGCCUUCUCGGCGAAUUGGUUCACAGGAUUUUGGUUUCCAUCUGCUCAGAAGGAAAAAAGAAAGCAGCUGCCCUGAGCUCAACCCGGAUGUAAGUGGUUUCCUGAUGUCCCCCAAGUACCACUAAUG